GACGAACGCUGGCGGCGUGCUUAACACAUGCAAGUCGAACGGAAAGGCCCUGCUCUUGUGGGGUGCUCGAGUGGCGAACGGGUGAGUAACACGUGAGUAACCUGCCCUUGACUUUGGGAUAACUUCAGGAAACUGGGGCUAAUACCGGAUAGGAGCUCCUGCUGCAUGGUGGGGGUUGGAAAGUUUCGGCGGUUGGGGAUGGACUCGCGGCUUAUCAGCUUGUUGGUGGGGUAGUGGCUUACCAAGGCUUUGACGGGUAGCCGGCCUGAGAGGGUGACCGGCCACAUUGGGACUGAGGUACGGCCCAGACUCCUACGGGAGGCAGCAGUGGGGAAUAUUGCACAAUGGGCGGAAGCCUGAUGCAGCAACGCCGCGUGCGGGAUGACGGCCUUCGGGUUGUAAACCGCUUUCGCCUGUGACGAAGCGUGAGUGACGGUAAUGGGUAAAGAAGCACCGGCUAACUACGUG
rnacentral:rRNA from 1 species